GUGAUUCGUUCUUUCCUUCAGUUUUGGGGACCAACAUAGGGUUGCCAACUUUGUGUUUUGCCAAAUGAGGACAUUUUUCAAAAUACCACUUUCAGCCACUGCCACUUUGCACCGAAGAGGAGACACAUGACCCUGGCCAAAGCAAAGGAGAUCAGCAGUUGAGGAAUUUUUUUUUAAACUGGGAUCAGCCGCACUUGAUAGACGGUGGAUGUGAUGGCUGGAGUUCCAGCAGCCAUUUUGGACCAUGAGGCAACUCUAGGAAUAGAAUCCAACAGAAGAAUCAGAUGCAAGAAAUCUAGAUUCUGACAUCCUGACAUCACACAAGUGACUAAACCCGUAUCCUGGUACAUGGGAUCCAAAGGGUUGUCUGCAGUCAGAGGGAAGAGCCCAGGAACAGGAGGCAUUUGAACAUGGCCUUAAAGAUGGGAAGAGGACCAGAUCCAGAACCCAGGGCAAAAGUGCCACCUUCAUUGUGGGCGCCUCUUAACAUGGACAAGAUACUCCGCCAGGCUUGCUCAGGACGGAAUUCAUCAACCAAAGGGAUCAUCAAGGUAUAGGGAACCCGUGUGAAGUCAAAAGACCUGGAGAAAACAGGCAGGCCACAGCCCCCAUGGGGAGAGAGGCUGGCCAUGUGGGAACACAGCAGCGCUGCGGGGAGGGAGGGGACGUGCAAGGGUCCUGGGGCCACCAUACCAAAACAAGUAUUAAUACGACAGAGGUUUAUGCUACAGUCUGAAAGCCAGAGGUCCAAAGUCAAGGUGGGGGCAGGGCUGAGCUCCCUCUGAGGGCUCCAGGGGAGGAUCCUUCGUGCCUCUUCCAGCUCCUGGUGUUGCUGGCCAUCCUUGGCCAGCGGCCAUGUCCCUCCAGUCUCAGCCCCUGUGUCAGACAGCCGUCUCCCUGGGUUUCUGCUUCCUCUUCUUAUAAGGACACCAAUUGUUGGACUAGAGCUCGUCCCACUCCAGCAUGACUCAUCGCAGCUGGUUCUAUCUGCAAAGACCCUCUUUCCAAAUAAGCUCACUUCUGGAGGUUCCAGGGGGACAUUCUGGGAGAGACGCUAUUCAAUUCAGCACAGCCCCAAGAGUGAAGGGGGCCAAGAACCUGAAAGGAACGGGACCUGGUGCGCAGAGUGGGGAGCACAGGAGCCCCUGCCCUGCCCAGCAUCCUGCAGGGGUGAGCCUAAGGGCACACAGGGCAGAGCGAAGUGUAGGGAGCGGGCAGGCAGCAGCACAAGGCAGUGGGGCACCCAGGACCCGCUGCGGGGGAGCCA